CCCAUUUGUUGUGUUCUCCAUAAUUGCGGUGUUUGCUCGCCCCUCCUCUCCUAAUGUGCAGCUUUGUAAGAAAAACAAAUUCCACGAAGAAUUUAAGCUUGAAAUGCAGGUUGAACUGAGAAAUUAUGAAGGAUGAUGUUGCAGUUGUUUCAAAGCAGGUGGGAGGGCCAAACGCCGAAGUCUCCGCAGGCUUCCCCCAUUUUUUAAACACUGAAUCAUUUACAGCAGAGUGUGUGAUUCACUUCGAAGCAGUGCUUCUCUUCCUCCCUCUUUCUGCCAUGCUGCAUCUCACCUUGAAGAUGAAUUAUCGAACACUGAGUUCUUGACAAAACAGAGGUACAAUUAACAGGCUGACUCACCGCACUGGCAGAUACCUCACUAAAGUCCCGCACAGCACACAUCUUUUGUUUCAUCGCAGGGAGGGUGAGAGGCACAUACCUAACAAACCGGCAGGCAGGGCGAGGCCGAGCCACAUUCCCAUGUCAGAGGAAGAAAAGAAACAAAGAUGCUGCUGCAGAGUUGUCAAACCGAUGAUGUGGCCUUUAUUGAGAUCCAGUCCAAGAUCACUCUUUAAAUCGUAGAGAUGACUGUGUGGGAAAAUCCCAGAAGAUCUGCAGUUACUGGAACACUCAGACCAGCCUGUUACCAACAACCAUGCCACCUUCUAAGUCACUUCUUCUCCAUUUGGGGGCUCGGUUUGAGCUUCAAGAAGUCAUCUUUAACAUGUCCAAAUGCUGCCACGUGAUUGGCUGAUUAGAUAUUUUGUUAAUGUGCAGUUGAAAAGGUGUACCUAACAAAGUGGCCAGUGGGUGUAUAUCGUGUUAGAUAACAUGAACUUCAUGUCAUCUAAAGGCUGCAGGGAAUGACUAAUGAGCUAAACGUCUAAUCAGCACGUUCAUAAAAGGCUAACGUCGCCACAACAAGUCAUGUGACUUUCAGUGAAGCCAGAGGCUGCGACUGCUUCUGAUGGGACUUCUCAUUAUAGUUGAUCAAGUUUGUGUCUCCAGUGUGAUUAGUUAUUGUACUUCUAAUUUAAUUUUUCUAGGUUAUAUUAAUUUGUGGUGCAUAUUAAGUUGUGCAAUAUUAUUUAAUGUCGUUGCGUAAUUGAGUUUAUUAUGUGAUUGAUUAUUUAAUUAGCACUUUAUAAUUUUAUGUGAAACUUUUAAGUUGAUUAUUGUAGCACCUCAUGAAAGGCAAUUAUAGUUCCUACUUGCUUGAGUCCAUGGUAGGACUGCUUAGAGUGUAACGUGCCCUGAGUAACGUGGACUUUGGAGAAGAAUGCGAUGCUGGCUGUCUCGCCAUGUUGCUGUUUAUUAUGGAAGCUACUUUAAAGAGAAGCUGUAGCCCACCAAACAACCACAGCCCACAGAGGCCACUACCACAGCAAGGUGGAGCAUCAACCUUUCUAUUACACCGUCAUAUUUGUAUAUAUGGGCAAACAGAUGAAGUCAGAAAAUUAGACUUUUAUUUAAGUGAGUUUUUACUGAAUGUGUAGCUCAGCCUUCAAGCUUCUCUGUCACCUCCUAAAGAAAUAAGCAGCUAUUUCAGUCACAUCAAAUCAUCUUAUUGGUUUUGGAAUUGCUGAUGUGAUUUUAUUACACUGCAUUAUGUUUUAUAAAGUGGUCAAAGCAGCCCAAAUAAAUGUAGAAAAUUAAAGUAGCAUGAAAGUGAACUGCCCCAAAAUUUAACUUAACCUCUUCAGUGGAGGCUCGUUUUCAGUUCUAGGGUGCACGUGUUUAUAAAACCAUAAGUGGCGCCAUUUUUU
ensembl:lncRNA